AAUGAAAUGCCUGAUAAAAAGGGUUAUUUUGAUAGAAUAAUUAAUGAAAUAUAUUAAUUUCUUUCAUUA
rnacentral:tRNA from 1 species